AUAUGUGUGUCCAUCAGUUUGAGUUACUUGAUUCAACAGUCAAGAUAACACCAAAUGUUCUUGGUUCACGUAAGAAGGCUUUAUUGAAGGUGUGGCUGUAUCAUCGUCCAUGGCUGCUGUUGCCUUUAAUGGGAAGCCAAGAAACGCUCAUGGUACGGUAAUUGACGUGACAUGGUUAAAGCUAGGAAUUUGUGAAAAGAAUAAGGCACCAAGUAACAAUCGCUGUAUUAUAAAUGAUGUUUUUCUAAUCCCUUGUCAAUUUCAGUAAUGCUUUGGUUCUUUGCAAUAAUAAAUUAUUUUUUGUUUUCUACUCCCUCCGUCC
rnacentral:lncRNA from 1 species